rnacentral:rRNA from 1 species
AUGGCCCUCUCCUCCUCCCCUCGGUUUCUCUUCUCUUGGCAAAAGGACGGCCGGCGUUCAACUCGGCACGACGGCGUUCAACUUGGCAAAAGGGUGACACCUUCCUUCCUCUCCAAAGCAAGGGAAGGGAAGGGAAGGGGAGGGGAGGCCCCAGAUCGAGGAGCGGAGCGACGCCCAGAUCCGCAGCGGCACUGGCGCGCCGUCAUCCACGUGGUCCUCGAGGAAGGCCAUGGAUGGAUGGGGGCAGAACCCUAG